rnacentral:rRNA from 1 species
UGGGCAACCUGCCCUCAGCUCUGGGAUAACCCCGGGAAACCGGGGCUAAUACCGGAUACGACCUCCACGGGCAUCUGUGGAAGUGGAAAGGGUUUCCGGCUGAGGAUGGGCCCGCGGCCUAUCAGCUUGUUGGUGGGGUGACGGCCCACCAAGGCGACGACGGGUAGCCGGCCUGAGAGGGUGACCGGCCACACUGGGACUGAGACACGGCCCAGACUCCUACGGGAGGCA